GGGGCUGGGGCUCAGUGGUAGAGCACUUGCCUGGCAUGCGUGAGGCACUGGUUUCGAUUCUCAGCACCG
rfam:Ictidomys tridecemlineatus contig049469, whole genome shotgun sequence.